rnacentral:rRNA from 1 species
CUCCCUCCCCCCUAAAAGUGUGACGAGUGGCGGACGGGUGAGUAAUGUCUGGGAAACUGCCCGAUGGAGGGGGAUAACUACUGGAAACGGUAGCUAAUACCGCAUAACGUCGCAAGACCAAAGAGGGGGACCUUCGGGCCUCUUGCCAUCGGAUGUGCCCAGAUGGGAUUAGCUAGUAGGUGGGGUAACGGCUCACCUAGGCGACGAUCCCUAGCUGGUCUGAGAGGAUGACCACCCACACUGGAACUGAGACACGGUCCAGACUCCUACGGGAGGCAGCAGUGGGGAAUAUUGCACAAUGGGCGCAAGCCUGAUGCACCCAUGCCGCGUGUAUGAAAAAGGCCUUCGGGUUGUAAAGUACUUUCAGCGAGGAGGAAGGCGUUGUGGUUAAUAACCGCAACGAUUGACGUUACUCGCAAAAAAAGCACCGGCUAACUCCGUGCCAGCACCCGCGGUAAUACGGAGGGUGCAAGCGUUAAUCGGAAUUACUGGGCGUAAAGCGCACGCAGGCGGUCUGUCAAGUCAGAUGUGAAAUCCCCGGGCUCAACCUGGGAACUGCAUCCGAAACUGGCAGGCUAGAGUCUUGUAGAGGGGGGUAAAAUUCCAGGUGUAGCGGUGAAAUGCGUAGAGAUCUGGAAGAAUACCGGUGGCGAACGCGGCCCCCUGGACAAAGACUGACGCUCAUGUGCGAAAGCGUGGGGAGCAAACAGGAUUAUAUACCCUGGUACUCCACGCCGUAAACGAUGUCACUUGGAGGUUGUGCCCUUGAGCGUGUCUUCGAGAGCUAACGCGUUAAGUCCACCGCCUUGGGAGUACGGCCGCAAGGUUAAAACUCAA